UACGUAGGGUGCGAGCGUUAAUCGGAAUUACUGGGUGUAAAGCGUGCGCAGGCGGUGAUGUAAGACAGAUGUGAAAUCCCCGGGCUCAACCUGGGAACUGCAUUUGUGACUGCAUCGCUGGAGUGCGGCAGAGGGGGAUGGAAUUCCGCGUGUAGCAGUGAAAUGCGUAGAUAUGCGGAGGAACACCGAUGGCGAAGGCAAUCCCCUGGGCCUGCACUGACGCUCAUGCACGAAAGCGUGGGGAGCAAACAGG
rnacentral:rRNA from 1 species